rnacentral:snoRNA from 15 species
UUUAACAACCAUGUUCACUUUCCACUUGAGAAGACACAAAAAUUGUCUUGUCGCUUUAGGAUAAUGUGUUGACUCGCAGGAACUAGUUGCAAUGAACGGCGAUUAAAUUGGUCUGUUUUUUUGUUGGUUAAGCAUGGUAGAUAACGUUUGUUCAAACAAUAGCUUAAAGUGACAUGGUUUUGCCUAUGUUUAUGGUAAAAGCAUCGAUAGAGCUGUACAUUU